CCCUCCCCCGCGAUGUCACAGGCAGCGCGGCCGCCUCCGCUAACGUGUCCGCCCCCGCGCCCGCACGGCUCCGUGUGCGGCUCCGUGUGCGGGUGUCUGCGGGUGUGUGCUGGGGGCGACCCCCCCGGGCCCCCCCGGGCUCCGCACCCCCGCGCCCCGGCUCCCCCCUGCCCGCCCCGUCCCGGCCGCUCCGGGGGACGCGGGUUCGAUUCCCGCUGCCCCGGCCUCGCCCAGCGCCGCCAGGCUGCCAGGGCUGCCCCUGCACCCGGUGUGGGCAGAGCCACCACCGGUGGCCCUGGCGCAUGCACGGCUCCCCAGACCAUUAAUUCUCGACCAGCCUGCAGCGCUGGUGCCUUCUCACGGGACUGCCAAAAGAAGGGAUCUGGUGUCUGGGAGCUCAGCCAUGAGCAUAGGGAAAAUGGAAGAUUAUACCCCACCAGCAGGAAAGGCAAGCCCAAGGAUAAUUUACUUAAGCAGAGAUUUAUGGGUGGAAGACUGGAAAUAAAAUACCUACAACAUAAGAUGCUCGAGAAGAAGAUAUUCUCCCAGUUUUCAUUUGUCAGAUGAAGGGUGAGUUGCAACAUUUGUCCGCACCUCAUAGAGAAAAGGACUGGGCGUUCUCCAGUCUCAACAUUUGCUUUUAUUGCUAAUGCUUCGACACAAGUCCUAAUGUUGCUUUGUGGGUGACCACCAAUUUUUUCGCCUUUCUUCUACCUUUAUCUUCUACUCCAGUCCAUUCAGUGCAUGGCAGUGCAAGCAUACUUCUGGAAAAUUCAGUUUGUUCAUGGGUUUCUCCACUGAUUUGCUGUUUCAAGCUACAACAAGUUCAAACACCCUUGCUCACUUUUAGCUUUCUCUGUGAUUCAGCCUCAUACACUCCCUUUCAUUUACUAUGCCACGCUAUCAUCGCCUCCCUGCUUUGCAGUUGGGUUGUUGAGUUACAUGUAUAUUCACACCUUGCAGUUUCUAGGUUGGGAAACAGUUCCAGCUGCAUUUCAGGGUGAGAGCCAAACGUGCAACAGCUUUGCCUGUGCCUUCAAAGCUCAACAUGAGAAUUGUAGGAAACAACAGUGGAAUAUACAGCAUAUCAAAUGUUUUAGGAACCAUCGAAAAUGAAAGCCAGAAUUAAAAAAUAAAAAUGAUGAAAUGCAGAGACCUUCUUUGUCU
rnacentral:lncRNA from 1 species